GGAAACUGAAGGUCACUUUCAGCAUACUUUACCAUGCCUCCCAGGCAUUGCUGAUAAGAAAAAGACAGAAGGACAAAGACAAAAUUAACUUUUAAUUUCCCAUCCAAGCUACAACUAACAGAAACAGAGAGACGGAGACAGAAGUGCCAAAGCCUUCAUAAUUUAAGCCCGGAUAAAAAAUCACCUUGGAGUCACAGAAAUCAGCCUGAUUUGGAUAUGGCACCUUGAAAUUACUUGGGGACCUCCGUUAGAAGGAUAUAUCACCUUGGCUAAAUCACUGAGUAUUGCUCCUCCUGAGAAAUGUGGGCAUAAGAUAAAUCUAAAAGAGUCCAGUCAAGAUCAGUUACUCCUCCUUGGGAUGGACAAGAGCUUGGAAAAGGAUGUGAUUCUAUCAGUAAUUCGCCUAGGAAAAAUUCCUAUCUUUUCUCUGACCUGUCCUGUAAAGAAAUUGCAAUGUCAUCACAAAAGGGAAUGAAAUUGCAGUCCAUUCUUAACUAUCAAAAUAUUUCCAAGAAAAUAUAAUUUUUGAAGAAAAAGAGUAAAACUCAUUCCCAUGAAAGCAAUCUUUUUAUCUCCAUGCUUCAACCCAGCACAGUGUUGGGGGGUAGGGGGGAGAGUACUGAACUAGAAACUAAGAGUCAGGCAGGAUACCAGCAAUGUCCCAAAUGGCAUACUCAAGCAGAGUGAUUGAGGAGAGUUUAAAGAUGGAGCAGUUUACAAAAGGGUAGACAGGGUACAGUGAAACCAACAAAAGAUGGUGAAAUACCGAGGGGGCUAGUGUUGCCACCUCUAGGGCUGAAAGGGCAGAAGAAAGUGAGAUAACUGUAUAUAUAGAUGCAGAAGAAGGUGUGUGGGUCUGCUGGAAGCUGCAGACAUCAUCAUCACCCUUAUCAUCAUUAUUCCCAUUCAGAGAAUAAAUACCUCAACCUUACUUUCCCCCCAAA